CAGCAGCCGCGGGAAUACAGAGGUCCCAAGCGUUGUUCGGAUUCACUGGGCGUAAAGGGUGCGUAGGCGGUUGGGUAAGUUUGACGUGAAAUCUCCGGGCCUAACCCGGAAACUGCGUUGAAUACUAUCCAGCUAGAGGAUUGGAAGGGAGACUGGAAUACUUGGUGUAGCAGUGAAAUGCGUAGAUAUCAAGUGGAACACCAGUGGCGAAGGCGAGUCUCUGGACAAUUCCUGACGCUGAGGCACGAAAGCCAGGGGAGCAAACGGGAUUAGAUACCCCCGUAGUCCCUGUCUCUUAUAC
rnacentral:rRNA from 1 species